rnacentral:rRNA from 1 species
AUUGAACGCUGGCGGCAAGCCUAACACAUGCAAGUCGAACGAGUGGCGGACGGGUGAGUAAUGUCUGGGAAACUGCCUGAUGGAGGGGGAUAACUAAUGGAAACGGUAGCUAAUACCGCAUACCAUCGGAUGUGCCCAGAUCGGAUUAGCUAGUAGGUGGGGUAAAGGCUCACCUAGGCGACGAUCCAUAGCUGGUCUGAGAGGAUGACCAGCCACAUGGGAACUGAGACACGGUCCAGACUCCUACGGGAGGCAGCAGGGGGGAAUAUUGCACACGGGGCGCAAGCCGGAUGCAGCCGUGCCGCGUGUAUGAAGAAGGCCUUCGGGUUGUAAAGUACUUUCAGCGGGGAGGCGUUACCCGCAGAAGAAGCACCGGCUAACUCCGUGCCAGCAGCGGCGGUAAUUC